ACGCUAGCUACAGGCUUAACACAUGCAAGUCGAGGGGCAGCAUGGUCUUAGCUUGCUAAGGCCGAUGGCGACCGGCGCACGGGUGAGUAACACGUAUCCAACCUGCCGUCUACUCUUGGACAGCCUUCUGAAAGGAAGAUUAAUACAAGAUGGCAUCAUGAGUCCGCAUGUUCACAUGAUUAAAGGUAUUCCGGUAGACGAUGGGGAUGCGUUCCAUUAGAUAGUAGGCGGGGUAACGGCCCACCUAGUCUUCGAUGGAUAGGGGUUCUGAGAGGAAGGUCCCCCACAUUGGAACUGAGACACGGUCCAAACUCCUACGGGAGGCAGCAGUGAGGAAUAUUGGUCAAUGGGCGAGAGCCUGAACCAGCCAAGUAGCGUGAAGGAUGACUGCCCUAUGGGUUGUAAACUUCUUUUAUAAAGGAAUAAAGUCGGGUAUGCAUACCCGUUUGCAUGUACUUUAUGAAUAAGGAUCGGCUAACUCCGUGCCAGCAGCCGCGGUAACACGGAGGAUCCGAGCGUUAUCCGGAUUUAUUGGGUUUAAAGGGAGCGUAGAUGGAUGUUUAAGUCAGUUGUGAAAGUUUGCGGCUCAACCGUAAAAUUGCAGUUGAUACUGGAUAUCUUGAGUGCAGUUGAGGCAGGCGGAAUUCGUGGUGUAGCGGUGAAAUGCUUAGAUAUCACGAAGAACUCCGAUUGCGAAGGCAGCCUGCUAAGCUGCAACUGACAUUGAGGCUCGAAAGUGUGGGUAUCAAACAGGAUUAGAUACCCUGGUAGUCCACACGGUAAACGAUGAAUACUCGCUGUUUGCGAUAUACGGCAAGCGGCCAAGCGAAAGCGUUAAGUAUUCCACCUGGGGAGUACGCCGGCAACGGUGAAACUCAAAGGAAUUGACGGGGGCCCGCACAAGCGGAGGAACAUGUGGUUUAAUUCGAUGAUACGCGAGGAACCUUACCCGGGCUUAAAUUGCAGAUGAAUUACGGUGAAAGCCGUAAGCCGCAAGGCAUCUGUGAAGGUGCUGCAUGGUUGUCGUCAGCUCGUGCCGUGAGGUGUCGGCUUAAGUGCCAUAACGAGCGCAACCCUUGUUGUCAGUUACUAACAGGUUCCGCUGAGGACUCUGACAAGACUGCCAUCGUAAGAUGUGAGGAAGGUGGGGAUGACGUCAAAUCAGCACGGCCCUUACGUCCGGGGCUACACACGUGUUACAAUGGGGGGUACAGAGGGCCGCUACCACGCGAGUGGAUGCCAAUCCCCAAAACCUCUCUCAGUUCGGACUGGAGUCUGCAACCCGACUCCACGAAGCUGGAUUCGCUAGUAAUCGCGCAUCAGCCACGGCGCGGUGAAUACGUUCCCGGGCCUUGUACACACCGCCCGUCAAGCCAUGGGAGCCGGGGGUGCCUGAAGUGCGUAACCGCGAGGAGCGCCCUAGGGUAAAACUGG
rnacentral:rRNA from 1 species